rnacentral:tRNA from 1 species
GCAGGGUGGCGCGCACUUCGGCGAACCCGAGGUCGCGGGCCUCGGUGAGGAGGGCGCGGGCCAGGGCGGUGCCGAGGCCGCGGCCCUGCC